UCAAGAAAUAGGCGAAAACAAAAGGGUAAGGAGAUUGUUUCACAUCCAUGAGAGUUCCUACACCAACAGCACCACGAUAUUUUUCUUCUUGAAUAAGUUACAGAUACUCACUCCUCACCUCAUGCUGUCUCACAGCUGACAGAACUUCAAAACCUCAGCUGCUGUAGCCGCACAUCUUCAUCCUUUCUUCCGUCGUCAUCUUCUUC
rnacentral:lncRNA from 1 species